UAACCGACAAAGAGCUUAAUUUUCGUACAGUUCAGCAGCUUCUUUAUAGCAUCUUCAUACUCACUCUUUAUCAUUCACAGAUCCCAAAGUUUCAAUCUUUUUUCCCAAAUCUUGAUACCCUUUUCAGUAUUUGAGUGAUUUUUUUUUGACUAAUUUAGUAUGUAGAUUUUGAUUUUUAUGUGAAAAUAUGAGGUGGGUCGAGCUCAAUAAUGGGUGAUGAAUUGGGGUUUUGAGAUGGGUAUGAAUCCGUUUGAAGAAAUGGGGAAAAGGGUUCCGAAAAGGGUGUGGCUUAGAUCUCAAAUGACAAUGGUAUUAAUGGUGGGUGGAAAUCACACUUCAUCCAGGUUUUGUACUCGUUAAUCUGUUUGAAUUUGUUGUUUUUAGGCUUAAAUCUACUGUUUUUAGCUUCUGUGAGAACUUCACUUGCUGUUAUAGAUCUUGAAAGUUUAAGAAAUCUUAAAGAAAAAAAAUGGAUAUGAAGGUUUUGAAAUGGCAAUUUAUUCAUGGGUCGUUGGUGAAACGUUUGAUUGUGAAAGGGUUCUUGUUUGUUACUGUUAUGAUUCUUGUGUCAUUUGUUCAAAUGACACAUAUGAUUCAGAAAUCUGAACCUAUAAUGUUGAAUUUUGGUGUAUGCCCUUUGAACUUUGGGUCUAAUGAGUAUAUGAAUGUGACCGGGUUCGUUAAACCUGUUUCUGGAUUGGGGAUUUCGCUGUUUGGAGCUUCUUUGAUGAAGCGGGACGACGAAAAAUUGACCAAGGAUGUGUUUAAGGAGCUAAUGGAAAAGGAUUUCUUGGAUUUGAAUGCUAAUGCAUUGUGUGUUGGGAAGAAAUCGUCGUUUGCAGCUUUGGUGCUGCGAGAAUUGGGACUCUUGAGUGCUGUUGGUGUUGAUGCACACCCGUAUUUCUCUCUUGUAUGGAGAAGAUUUAUGUACGAGCUCGAUCAUGAGAACAAUUCUUUCGAUUUUGUGUUCUCGAGGGAUCUGGAUAAGGUCACUGUACCAGCUCUUAUGGUGCUUGAGAUUGAGCGUGUCUUACGUCCAGGGGGCACCGGUGUUAUGCUCGUGGGUUCUAGUAGUUUCUACGCGGGUAACUUGGUAAAAGGCAACUUGAUAAGGUCUGCCACCCCAGUUUCGUCGUUCUUGAAGAGUUCUGAUGUUGUGCACGUAUGUGGGGUUGGCACGUAUACUCUAGUGAUGUUCAAGAAAAGAUCAGAGAUUGUUCAAUCUCUCGUGCACUCUGUGCUGCCUGCUAAUUGUCCUUCCAAUGUGAACAACAAGCCGUACUUGAAGCACCUUGAGCCACUCGUGGAAAAGAAGCUUGGACAGUUUGAGACACAAAUCUCAUACUUGCCCAAGUUCAUGAACAUCUCAUCUAGGAACAAACUGGUGUAUAUCAACGUUGGUGCAGGGGAAUUCGUAGAAUCAACUCUUGCAAGAACAUUCAAGC
rnacentral:misc_RNA from 1 species